AUUCCAGCUCCAAUAGCGUAUAUUAAAGUUGUUGCAGUUAAAAAGCUCGUAGUUGGAUGUAUGGUGGUUUUCAGAUUUCUUUUUGAAAGCUCUAGACCGCCUUCUUUGGGUGUAACCAGCGUGGCAUUAGUUUGUCGUGUUGGUGAUUCCCAUCAUUUACUGUGAAAAAAUCAGUGCGUUCAAAGCAGGCUUAUGCCAUUGAAUGUAUUAGCAUGGAAUAAUAUGAUAGGACCUCGGUACUAUUUUGUUGGUUUGUGCACCAAGGUAAUGAUUAAUAGGGAUAGUUGGGGAUAUUUGUAUUCCAUUGUCAGAGGUGAAAUUCUUGGAUUUUUGGAAGACAAACUACUGCGAAAGCAUUUAUCAAGGAUGUUUUCAUUAAUCAAGAACGAAAGUUAGGGGAUCGAAGAUGAUUAGAUACCAUCGU
rnacentral:rRNA from 1 species